UACGAAGGGGGCUAGCGUUGUUCGGAAUCACUGGGCGUAAAGCGCACGUAGGUGGAUCUUUAAGUCAGGGGUGAAAUCCCGAGGCUCAACCUCGGAACUGCCUUUGAUACUGGGGAUCUCGGAGUCCGGGAGAGGUGAGUGGAACUGCGAGUGUAGAGGUGAAAUUCGUAGAUAUUCGCAAGAACACCAGUGGCGAAGGCGGCUCACUGGCCCGGAACUGACGCUGAGGUGCGAA
rnacentral:rRNA from 1 species